AAAUUGAAGAGUUUGAUCAUGGCUCAGAUUGAACGCUGGCGGCAGGCCUAACACAUGCAAGUCGAGCGGAAACGGCAGUAUUGAAGCUUCGGUGGAUUUGCUGGACGUCGAGCGGCGGACGGGUGAGUAACGGCUGGGAACCUGCCCUGACGAGGGGGAUAACCGUUGGAAACGACGGCUAAUACCGCAUAAUGUCUUAGUUCAUUACGAGCUGGGACCAAAGGUGGCCUCUACAUGUAAGCUAUCGCGUUGGGAUGGGCCCAGUUAGGAUUAGCUAGUUGGUAAGGUAAUGGCUUACCAAGGCGACGAUCCUUAGCUGGUUUGAGAGGAUGAUCAGCCACACUGGGACUGAGACACGGCCCAGACUCCUACGGGAGGCAGCAGUGGGGAAUAUUGCACAAUGGGGGAGACCCUGAUGCAGCCAUGCCGCGUGUGUGAAGAAGGCCUUCGGGUUGUAAAGCACUUUCAGCAGUGAGGAAGGUGGUGUACUUAAUAAGUGCAUGGCUUGACGUUAGCUGCAGAAGAAGCACCGGCUAACUCCGUGCCAGCAGCCGCGGUAAUACGGAGGGUGCGAGCGUUAAUCGGAAUUACUGGGCGUAAAGCGCAUGCAGGCGGUUUGUUAAGUCAGAUGUGAAAGCCCGGGGCUCAACCUCGGAACCGCAUUUGAAACUGGCAGGCUAGAGUCUUGUAGAGGGGGGUAGAAUUUCAGGUGUAGCGGUGAAAUGCGUAGAGAUCUGAAGGAAUACCAGUGGCGAAGGCGGCCCCCUGGACAAAGACUGACGCUCAGAUGCGAAAGCGUGGGUAGCAAACAGGAUUAGAUACCCUGGUAGUCCACGCCGUAAACGCUGUCUACUUGGAGGUUGAGGUUUAGACUUUGGCUUUCGGCGCUAACGCAUUAAGUAGACCGCCUGGGGAGUACGGCCGCAAGGUUAAAACUCAAAUGAAUUGACGGGGGCCCGCACAAGCGGUGGAGCAUGUGGUUUAAUUCGAUGCAACGCGAAGAACCUUACCUACUCUUGACAUCCAGAGAACUUUCCAGAGAUGGAUUGGUGCCUUCGGGAACUCUGAGACAGGUGCUGCAUGGCUGUCGUCAGCUCGUGUUGUGAAAUGUUGGGUUAAGUCCCGCAACGAGCGCAACCCUUAUCCUUGUUUGCCAGCACAUAAUGGUGGGAACUCCAGGGAGACUGCCGGUGAUAAACCGGAGGAAGGUGGGGACGACGUCAAGUCAUCAUGGCCCUUACGAGUAGGGCUACACACGUGCUACAAUGGCAGAUACAGAGGGCAGCAAAGCUGCGAAGUGGAGCGAAUCCCUUAAAGUCUGUCGUAGUCCGGAUUGGAGUCUGCAACUCGACUCCAUGAAGUCGGAAUCGCUAGUAAUCGUGGAUCAGAAUGCCACGGUGAAUACGUUCCCGGGCCUUGUACACACCGCCCGUCACACCAUGGGAGUGGGCUGCACCAGAAGUAGAUAGCUUAACCUUCGGGAGGGCGUUUACCACGGUGUGGUUCAUGACUGGGGUGAAGUCGUAACAAGGUAGCCCUAGGGGAACCUGGGGCUGGAUCACCUCCUUA
rnacentral:rRNA from 1 species